CAGCCCCUGCCUGUUUCUGCCAAAGUUCCCAGGGUAAGCUUUCUUUAAUGCUUCCACCUUCUUCCAUGGUUUCACCUGCAGUUAUUGAAGAAACAAAUCUGUAAAUUAUUUCAGUCAUUCACUCUCUGCCGAAAGUUCCAAGAGCUUUGGCACGUUGAUUCACUAGCUCAACCACAAUAGCCAACUACACAUUUUAAGGUAUUUACCUAGCCCCAUAUACUGUAUUCCAUCACACAUUUUCUGCAUCCAAGCAUGAUAGACAAACAAAACCAAUAUGUGAGAAUGAACAUAGCAGCAUGAAGAACCAGCAACAUAUAGCAUUUAACAGAUUUUGACCUUCACACCAUAGCUUUACCAUCUCACAACUGAUAAACCAUGUACAUUAAGAUACCUCAGAAAAUUCAUACGCAGUAGUUGUAAAGUGAGAGUAGGGAACUUAGCUUCUGAGAGGGAGGAGGACUGAACGGCUUCGAGGAGGAGGCGAGGCGACACCCUUCGCCGGAAAUCGCACAGCAGCAGCCGACCUGAACCAUGGUCGAGCAGGGGCUCGAGCGCACCAGCAGCGGACGCACGGCAACGGCGUUCUGCCCUUUUUGAAACCUAAGGCUCGACGUCGGAGAGGGAUAUCAAGAUGGGAGUUGGACGGCGCCGCUCCCAGACGCCGACUGAGUCGCUGGAUUCCAGUAGCAGCGGCGUCGGGGCUCGGGAAAUCGACGGCGGCAGUGGCCAGGUGCUCCUGCUGCCCGUCGAUUCAGAGAGAGCAGUGGGUGGACGGCGGCUGGACGCGGGGGCUGGUCGGCGGAGGGAGAGAUGUCGGGCCUGUUUCAGCGAGAAAGAAGAGAGAACCAAGGAGCAGUGGUUGUCGCCGCUCGCUCCGGCGAGCUCGGACGGCGGUGACUUCGGGAGAGAGAGAGAGACGAACAGAUCUUGAGAGAGGAGUCGGCGACUGCUCUGAAUCGGAAGACGGCGGCGCUGAAUCGAUGGAG
rnacentral:lncRNA from 1 species